GUAAUAGCUCACUGGUCGAGUCGGCCUGCGCGGAAGAUGUAACGGGGCUAAACUGUGCACCGAAGCUGCGGCAGCGACACUAUGUGUUGUUGGGUAGGGGAGCGUUCUGUAAGCCUGCGAAGGUGUCCUGUGAGGGAUGCUGGAGGUAUCAGAAGUGCGAAUGCUGACAUAAGUAACGAUAAUGCGGGUGAAAAACCCGCACGCCGGAAGACCAAGGGUUCCUGUCCAACGUUAAUCGGGGCAGGGUGAGUCGACC
rnacentral:rRNA from 1 species